rnacentral:rRNA from 1 species
AUUGAACGCUGGCGGCAUGCUUUACACAUGCAAGUUGAACGGUAACAGGGAGCUUGCUCCGCUGACGAGUGGCGAACGGGUGAGUAAUGCGUCGGAACGUGCCGAGUAGUGGGGGAUAACGCAUCGAAAGGUGUGCUAAUACCGCAUACGAACUGAGGUUGAAAGUGGGAGACCUUCGGGCCUCACGCUAUUCGAGCGGCCGACGUCUGAUUAGCUAGUUGGUGAGGUAAAGGCUCACCAAGGCGACGAUCAGUAGCGGGUCUGAGAGGAUGAUCCGCCACACUGGGACUGAGACACGGCCCAGACUCCUACGGGAGGCAGCAGUGGGGAAUUUUGGACAAUGGGCGCAAGCCUGAUCCAGCCAUGCCGCGUGUCUGAAGAAGGCCUUCGGGUUGUAAAGGACUUUUGUCCGGGAGCAAAUGCUGGUGGCUAACAUCCACCGGAGCUGAGAGUACCGGAAGAAUAAGCACCGGCUAACUACGUGCCAGCAGCCGCGGUAAUAC